rnacentral:rRNA from 1 species
GGAUCCAGACUUUGAUUAUGGCUCAGGACGAACGCUGGCGGCGUGCCUAACACAUGCAAGUCGAACGAAGCUCUGCGAUACAAGACUUCGGUCAAGUUGAACGGGAUGACUUAGUGGCGGACGGGUGAGUAACGCGUGAGGAACCUGCCUUUCAGUGGGGGACAACAGUUGGAAACGACUGCUAAUACCGCAUAAUGUAUUCUGACCGCAUGAUCGGAAUACCAAAGAUUUAUUGCUGAAAGAUGGCCUCGCGUCUGAUUAGAUAGUUGGUGAGGUAACGGCCCACCAAGUCAACGAUCAGUAGCCGGACUGAGAGGUUGAACGGCCACAUUGGGACUGAGAUACGGCCCAGACUCCUACGGGAGGCAGCAGUGGGGAAUAUUGGGCAAUGGGGGAAACCCUGACCCAGCAACGCCGCGUGAAGGAAGAAGGCUUUCGGGUUGUAAACUUCUUUUACCAGGGACGAAGGACGUGACGGUACCUGGAGAAAAAGCCACGGCUAACUACGUGCCAGCAGCCGCGGUAAUACGUAGGUGGCAAGCGUUGUCCGGAUUUACUGGGUGUAAAGGGCGUGUAGGCGGAGAAGCAAGUCAGAAGUGAAAUCCAUGGGCUUAACCCAUGAACUGCUUUUGAAACUGUUUCCCUUGAGUAUCGGAGAGGCAGGCGGAAUUCCUAGUGUAGCGGUGAAAUGCGUAGAUAUUAGGAGGAACACCAGUGGCGAAAGGCGGCCUGCUGGACGACAACUGACGCUGAGGCGCGAAAGCGGUGGGGGAGCAAACAGGAUUAGAUACCCUGGUAGUCCACGCUGUAAACGAUGAAUACUAGGUGUGGGGAGGACU